AGAGUUUGAUCAUGGCUCAGGAUGAACGCUGGCGGCGUGCCUAAUACAUGCAAGUCGAGCGGUAACACUUCGGGUGACGAGCGGCGGACGGCAGAGUAACGCGUAGGAACGUACCCCAAACUGAGGGAUAAGCCCGGGAAACCGGGUCUAAUACCGCAUAUUAUCUUCGGAUCAAAGCCUUCGGGUGGUUUGGGAGCGGCCUGCGUAUGAUUAGUUAGUUGGCGAGGUAAAAGCUCACCAAGACGACGAUCAUUAGCUGGUCUGAGAGGAUGAUCAGCCUGACUGGAACUGAGAACGGUCCAGACUCCUACGGGAGGCAGCAGUAGGGAAUUUUCCACAAUGGGCGAAAGCCUGAUGGAGCAACGCCGCGUGCAGGAGGAAGGCCUUCGGGUUGUAAACUGCUUUUAUCUGUGAUGAUUUUUGACAGUAGCAGAUGAAUAAGGAUCGGCUAACUCCGUGCCAGCAGCCGCGGUCAUACGGAGGAUCCAAGCGUUAUCCGGAAUUACUGGGCGUAAAGAGUUGCGUAGGUGGCAUAGUAAGCAAAUAGUGAAAGACUACGGCUCAACCGUAGGUACAUUAUUUGAACUGCUAAGCUAGAGCAUAAGAGAGGUAGCUGGAAUUUCUAGUGUAGGAGUGAAAUCCGUAGAUAUUAGAAGGAACACCGAUGGCGUAAGCAGGCUACUGGCUUAUUGCUGACACUAAGGCACGAAAGCGUGGGGAGCGAACGGGAUUAGAUACCCCGGUAGUCCACGCCGUAAACUAUGGAUGCUAGCUGUUAUCAGUAUCGACCCUGGUAGUAGCGAAGCUAACGCGUUAAAGC
rnacentral:rRNA from 1 species